rnacentral:rRNA from 1 species
UGAGGAAUAUUGGUCAAUGGACGCAAGUCUGAACCAGCCAUGCCGCGUGAAGGAUGAAGGUCCUCUGGAUUGUAAACUUCUUUUAUCUGGGACGAAAACGGGAUUUUUAUCUCAAUUGACGGUACCAGAGGAAUAAGCACCGGCUAACUCCGUGCCAGCAGCCGCGGUAAUACGGAGGGUGCGAGCGUUAUCCGGAUUUACUGGGUUUAAAGGGUGCGUAGGUGGGCUUAUAAGUCAGUGGUGAAAUCUCCGAGCUUAACUUGGAAACUGCGGUUGAUACUAUAGGUCUUGAAUUAUCUGGAGGUAAGCGGAAUAUGUCAUGUAGCGGUGAAAUGCUUAGAUAUGACAUAGAACACCAAUUGCGAAGGCAGCUUACUACAUAUAAAUUGACGCUGAGGCACGAAAGCGUGGGGAUCAAACA